rnacentral:rRNA from 1 species
ACCUACCUUUUACAGAAGGAUAGCCCGAAGAAAUUCGGAUUAAUACUUCAUAUAAUCACAGUUUCGCAUGUAACAAUGAUGAAAACUCCGGUGGUAAAAGAUGGGCAUGCGUGACAUUAGAUAGUUGGUAGGGUAACGGCCUACCAAGUCAGCGAUGCCUAGGGGGUCUGAGAGGAUGGUCCCCCACACUGGUACUGAGACACGGACCAGACUCCUACGGGAGGCAGCAGUGAGGAAUAUUGGGCAAUGGACGCAAGUCUGACCCAGCCAUGCCGCGUGCAGGAUGACGGCCCUAUGGGUUGUAAACUGCUUUUUUAAAGGAAGAAACUCCCGCACGUGUGCGGGACUGACUGUACUUUACGAAUAAGCACCGGCUAACUCCGUGCCAGCAGCCGCGGUAAUACGGAGGGUGCGAGCGUUAUCCGGAUUUAUUGGGUUUAAAGGGUGCGUAGGCGGGCCUUUAAGUCAGUGGUGAAAUCCUGCAGCUUAACUGUAGAACUGCCAUUGAUACUGAAGGCCUUGAGUAUAGUUGAGGUAGGCGGAAUUUGUAAUGUAGCGGUGAAUUGCUUAGAUAUUACACAGAACACCGAUUGCGUAGGCAGCUUACUAAGCUAUAACUGACGCUGAUGCACGAAAGCGUGGGGAGCGAACAGGAUUAGAUACCCUGGUAGUCCACGCCGUAAACGAUGAUCACUCGUUGUUGGCAAUACACCGUCAGCGACUGAGCGAAAGCAUUAAGUGAUCCACCUGGGGAGUACGGUCGCAAGAUUGAAACUCAAAGGAAUUGACGGGGGCCCGCACAAGCGGAGUAACAUGUGGUUUAAUUCGAUGAUACGCGAGGAACCUUACCUGGGCUUAAAUGUAGAGUGCAUAAACGGGAAACUGUUUUUUCCUUCGGGACUCUUUACAAUGUGCUGCAUGGUUGUCGUCAGCUCGUGCCGUGAGGUGUCGGGUUAAGUCCCAUAACGAGCGCAACCCCUAUUCUUAGUUGCCAGCGGAUAAUGCCGGGGACUCUAAGAAAACUGCCAGUGUAAACUGAGAGGAAAGUGGGGAUGACGUCAAAUCAGCACGGCCCUUACGUCCAGGGCUACACACGUGCUACAAUGGCCGGUACAGAGGGCAGCCACCACGCGAGUGGGAGCAAAUCUCUAAAGCAGGCCUCAGUUCGGAUUGGAGUCUGCAACUCGACUCCAUGAAGCUGGAAUCGCUAGUAAUCGCGCAUCAGCCAUGGCGCGGUGAAUACGUUCCCGGGCCUUGUACACACCGCCCGUCAAGCCAUGGAAGCUGGGAGUACCUGAAGUCGGUAACCGCAAGGAGCGG